UACGGGGGAUCCGAGCGUUAUUCGGAAUUAUUGGGCGUAAAGCGUACGUAGGCGGUUUGCCAAGUCUGGGGUUAAAGCCCGCAGCUUAACUGCGGAUCAGCCCUGGAAACUGGCAGACUUGAGUGCGGUAGGGGCAAGGGGAAUUCCACAUGUAGCGGUGAAAUGCGUAGAUAUGUGGAGGAACACCUGUGGCGAAAGCGCCUUGCUGGACUGUAACUGACGCUGAGGUACGAAAGCCAGGGGAGCAAAUGGG
rnacentral:rRNA from 1 species